CCUAAACUCUUGGAAAUCCAAAAUUAAUCAUACUUUCUGAUCCACGCCUGUAGGUAGAGCCACCUACUGGACAUUACCAGUUAACACGACAAUGUGUUGUCAUAGCAACAUGUUUCGUCUGUAAUAAUGCGGCACUUUGCCAAUAUACAAGAUCGGAGUCGUGACGUCACAAGUGAUGUGUUGAGCCUACGUAUUACGUACAGCGAAUUUCUUACAAGUCGACAUGCAUUGCCUCUACGGAUAGAUUUAUGCCUGGAUAGUGUGACAUAGCCCCUUCCCAAAAAAUAUGUUCUUAUAAUGAAAUCGAUAAACAAUGUAGAGAUAAAGAACGCAACGUUUUCAAGAAGAGAGUCUCCAAAGCCCUGGAAACUAACAGAGAGGUGUCGAAGUAAAGCCUCAAAAAUUACACCCUUGGCAAAUCUGGAGCAACGCCCUCCUCUACAAAAUAUAUACAUUGGUUAAGAAAGUGAACCUUCCGACCCAAAAACCUAUUGGGAUUAAACUGGGCAUAUCUCCUGGGCCUUGAAAACAAUGCAUCAACAGAGAAAAUUAUAUUCAUUAAGUAUUUGCUGCCUGGACUGAUUCUUUCUCGAAAAGUUGAAUAAACUUUUACAUAGUUUACA